GACGAUAAGGAUGGGAUUCUCGGGGACAAGAAAAAUUGUGGAAAUUUCUUUUCCACAAAGUCAACAAGUGUUGGAUUCGGAGUCCUGCACGCGCAGUUGAGACGGAAGAGGCAGGGCCACGAUGCUGGGGCAGGGGAUUUCACCAAAACAGCACACUAAGAGGGUCUGGAGUCUCUAGACAGCCCAGAGCCGCACCAUUUGGCGGCGGCUGGGGGAGAAUUACAAGCCGACAACAAAUCACACAACAACCAGGGGUGAAGUCAAUGAGGGAAAAAGCGGUUCAUGUAUCGACGGGCCGGAUGAAAGGGAAGGCCUUGAGCGAAGAUGAGACGCUGCCUCCAAUCAUGGGAGCAACAAGUCG
rnacentral:sRNA from 1 species